rnacentral:tRNA from 1 species
GUUUAAUUAGUUUAAUUUUUUAAAAUUAUAAAUUGUGGAUUUAUAGAUGAAUUUAUUUCAUUAGACA